CCCAGGCUCAAUUUUUAAAUCAGUCCUUUGCUGUAGAAGCCACAAGACGGCUGCAUCUGAGAGGAUACUGACAGGUACUGCCAGGAAGCCAUGUGUACCUGCAGGAGACCAGCACGUGUUGUAGCAGGAAGUUAGAACUCAGAAUUGAAGAGAGGAGGUUAUCAGGGGAAUCAAAGAAAUCUGGCCUGCAGUCCCCGGUGCCAGGGAAGACAUCUAAUGAUCUGUGGUCUUCUCCACAUGGUUGACUCCAAGGGGAAGGAGGCACUGGCAAGAGAUAAGAAGACUGGAAAAAGAGAUUUCUGCUUCUGACUCUGACAGAAGGGUAGUUGCUGGAGAUUGCUAAAGCGGUUUCAUCUGGCUCAUUCCGGAUUUCUGGAAUUGGCAGCCUGAGCCAAUUCCAGACAUAGCUGCAGCGGUACCUCAUUGGUUCUCCCUGAGAGCACUCCUUCAAUGACUCACUCAACAAGAAUCCUCAUUCCAGGCUCUGCUUCUAGGGAGCCUGGCCUCAUCUGUCUUCAAGAAGCUUUCUGCCUAGUAGAGAACCAUACCUGCAAACAUACAAACAAAAUGUAAAUCAUAGUGUGAAGUCAUGAAUGUGAAUGUACAAAACACGAAACCUGAAGCAAAGGACGUAUUACAAAGAUUUUGGAGAAUGCAUGGAAUAAAGGAAGGACUGAACAAUUAAGCUAUGGGAAGAACUGAAACACAGAAGUUCCAAGACCUCCAGAAGCUGGGGAAUGGAAACAUGCUUUCUAUAGCAUUGCCUAGCGUCGUGCAACUCUGACACUCUCUGUUUCUAUGUAUCUCAAUUCAGGUUUUCCAAUUAUUAGAAGAAUUAAUCUAACUGAACAAACUUGGGUCAGAUAUCUGUAUUUUGAGAGCAUAUAGCUAUGUCCAGGGGACAGAGUAGAAUACAUAGGCUUAUCCUUGGGGUAACUACAUGGAGCUGAGCAACCAUCGCAGUUUGUGUCUCCUACAUUCCACCUGUUGAUUGUGGUGGUUGUGUACACACACACGAACGUACACACAGACCCACACACACACUCUCUCUCUCUCUUCUUUCUCUCUCACUUCUCUAUACUCAAUAUAUAUAUUUUUCUCCAUCUAUCCACAAAUGCCUCAAUUCAACUAAAAGUAAUUAAUCCAUACAUAAUAACUAACACUCUUGUCUUCUUCUAAAAUGGGAAAUGACCUAAAUUCAUGCCCAGCUAUUAAACAAGGUACGAUGUCAUGAUACCACAUUUUUUUUUGAAAUCAGGCUCCCUGGGUGAUAUCCAUUUGUAUUAUAUAUGUGUAAUAAUUUCAUCUGGGCAUUCUGCAACUACACAGCCUGUGAAGGGGAGAAAGGUUAGGGAAUCAAUACUAAUAUAAAUAUUGACCUAGUAUAGGUUUAGUAUGCAAAGAAAUGCAAGUGCAGAUUUUUUUAUUUGCUGCUGAAACUGGUCAUGAGGUUUAUUGUAGUCCAUUCAGGUUGCUACAACAAAAUGCCAUAAACUCGAUAGCUUAUAAACAGUAGAAAUUUAUUUCUCAUGGUUCUGGAGACUGGGAAGUACAAGCUCAUGGUGCCAUCAGAUUCGGUGUCUGGACAGGAUCUGCUUUCUGGUUCAUAGAUAGUACCUUCUCACUGUCCUCAUGUGGUGGAAGGAACAAGUUAACUCUCUGGGGUCUUUUUUUUUGUGAGAGCAUUAAUCCCGCUCUUGAGGGCCCUGACUGCAUGACCUAAGCACCCCCCAAAGGCCCCACCUGCUAAGACCAUCAUAUUGGUGAUUCGGUUUCAGCAUAUGAAUUUGGAGGCACACAAACAUUCAGACUACAGCAAGGCUCUAGCUAGUAUUUAUGACUUCCAUGUUAUUCUUACCAUUAGCCAGCAACUCAGUUACUCAGAAUUAUUUGCCCAGUGAAGUUACCCAAUAAUGUAUCCCUAACUGGUCUAGGCCCUUAGUGUUUCAACUUAUAUAAUGUUGCUGUACCUUCUGUUAAUCUUUGCCAUUGAGCAUGGUAGUGUAAGGUGGUUUUUUUCUCUCCAAAGAAUUGCUGUUAAUAUAACUCAACUCUACUACCCUGUGACCUCUGUGUAUUCCCUUGCAAGUUGUAAUUGCCUAUAAAACAGAAUAUUUUGAAGUCAGAUAUCUACCCCUUGGAUAAAUUGGCCAGAGGCCUAAGAUGAAAAGGACAUUCACCCCAGGAAUGGUUAUAUACUGGUUGACCACCCCAGAUUUUUCUAGGUAAAUAUCCUUUCUUUAAUAGUGGUUAUUUACAAGAUUUGUGUAUGAAGAAUGUGAAUUUUUUAAUAUAAUAAAAUUUUGUCAGCAUCCAGUUUAUUCUUACAUAAGUUUCUAGAAUACUGACAGAAUAUUCUGAUCAUUGGUUAUGUACCAACUAUUUUAAUUUAAUCUUUUCUUCUCAAAUUUUAUCUUAACCAUAUAUUCUACCCAGUUUAUUAGAUUGCCCCAUGGUUAAAUUUAGUAGGUAGUAAAUCAUCCUAAGCAUACAGAGUGGUUCUUUUUGUGAUCAACCCUGAAACAUAAUUGAAAGAGCAAGGGUAUGGGAAUUAGAUUAAUCUGGACUUUAUUUCUGGUACUUACUUGCUAUCUGACCUUGGGCAACUUAUUAAUUGCUCUGAGUCUCAUUUUCUUCAUCUAUAAAAUGAUCAUAAUAAUAACUAAUUCAUGUGCAGUUUGGAAAUGUGUAAUUAAAUGAUUUAUAUAAAGUUCCUGAUACAGUUUCUGAAAAAUAAUAGACACCCAGCAAGUGAUAACCAUAAUAAUCAGAGUUUAUUCUUCAUAUUAACUGGGAUAAAAUUUAUCAGGAAAUACAACAUGGCAAAGCACCCAGAAAUUCACAAGCAUGUAUUUCGCUUGCCCUUUUAUACAGAGCUGAAAAUUUUAUCAUCAUUAUCUCAUCCAUUGCCUGCAGCACCAUCCUUCCCAAACUCCUCCUGAGACUUUCUACUAAGGUGGAGCACAUUGAACCAUAUGUGACUCUGCCUUUUCUGACUAUUUUUGCAAGAUUUUUCUCAUUAGAGUAUUAUUAACAGAAAGUGGGGCUGUUAUCGAGGUAACUAGGAACGGUGCAUUUUCAGUUCAGGCUCCGACGGAACUUCUGCUUGACCUGGUACAACUCCAACUGUGCUCUUGUCUUUCCUCACUCCUGUUGUUCCAAGAAUGUAAAUAUUCUUCCAUGUCUUUCUUCCAUGUUUUUCUCCACAAGGUCUCAUUGAACUACACAUUUUCCCUUAAAUUUUCUCAACUCAUUUUAUUUCUCCUAAAUAAACUUGAUACUUCUCCCUUUUCUAAUGCAAUAGAUCUUCUUACUAAUACUGCCCACUAAACAUUUGUGUGUAAUUUGUCCUUAAUUCUACACACAAAAUAUUAUCUCUACAAACAUUUUACAACUAUAGUGUGUCUACAGAGAACUAUAAGAGGAACUUGCUCUAAAGGAGGAACUUCAACAACCAAGCCAAGGGUCUGAUAAUUUUCAACAAUAUGUUAUUCAAGAAAGUGCAGCAAAAAAUAUUUUUAAGUUAACGGAGGAGAAUGACAUGAGCAAAAUGGCAAAACAGAAGUUUUCAGCACUUAUCCCUUCACAGAAACAUCAAUUUGAACAGCCAUCUGUGCAUGAAAAUAUCUUCAUAAGAGACAAGGAAUCCAGCUGAGAGGUUAUAG
rnacentral:lncRNA from 1 species